rnacentral:rRNA from 1 species
UACGGAGGGUGCAAGCGUUAUCCGGAUUCACUGGGUUUAAAGGGUGCGUAGGUGGGCAGGUAAGUCCGUGGUGAAAUCUCUGAGCUUAACUCAGAAACUGCCGUGGAUACUAUUUGUCUUGAAUGUUGUGGAGGUGAGCGGAAUAUGUCAUGUAGCGGUGAAAUGCCUAGAUAUGACAUAGAACACCAAUUGCGAAGGCAGCUCACUACACAAUUAUUGACGCUGAGGCACGAAAGCGUGGGGAUCAAACAGG